rnacentral:rRNA from 1 species
UACGAAGGGGGGCUAGCGUUGCUCGGAAUCACUGGGCGUAAAGCGCACGUAGGCGGAUUGCUAAGUCAGGGGUGAAAUCCUGGAGCUCAACUCCAGAACUGCCUUUGAUACUGGCGAUCUCGAGUCCGGGAGAGGUGAGUGGAACUGCGAGUGUAGAGGUGAAAUUCGUAGAUAUUCGCAAGAACACCAGUGGCGAAGGCGGCUCACUGGCCCGGUACUGACGCUGAGGUGCGAAAAGCGUGGGGGAGCAAACAGG